UAAAUUUCAUUUGAUCGACCCCAAAUUUCACGUAGAUCACGAAUAUUUGGUUUAUUUGGUCGGUAGCUCAACGGUUGAGGUGCUAUUGCUUACUUCCGGUAUACUUCCGGAAAAUUUGCAUAAAACUAGCAAAUGAGCUUUGUUCUCUGUACUAAUCUCAAUAUUUCAGCUAGGUUUAAGCAAAUAAAUGUGCGCUGUUCAAGUUAUACAAGUAUCUAAAGAACUGAAUUGCUUUGAGUUUAUACAUUUGACAUACAGAACUGCAGCCCGAUAAGCAGUACGGUGAAAACAUUUUCGGUACCUAAAUAUGUAAUAUUUCUGUUUUUAAGAUCUACAAUAUCACUAGGAUUCAAAAAUUUAAUGCUGUGUCUCACACAACUAAAAUUGCGUUUUUGAUUGUUGGGACUUGGAGUGUCAGAGGUGUCCAAUAGAUGACAUAGGCGUCGUCGUUUUCAUGUGAUGGCGGAUUGUUGUGUUGAGUGGUUGUCAAAAGUUUUCCUAUAUUUCCAUGAAAAUUAUCGAUGAAUUCAUAAGAAGGAACGGGAAUGGAAACAUUAGCAUACAAGUAGCCUACCAUCACGACCACCAACUCUUUUAUUAAAAAUUUUCGUUCUGCUGAAUGCAUCAUGCAGUCAAUACAGUUUCUAUUGAUCUUGGUAGGUCACUACCCCAGUGUGGACAUGUUUGUUUUUCUGAACAUGUUUUUCAACAAAUUAUUCAUCGAUAUACAAGGAAAGCUAUGAAAAAUAUCAUAUCAUCUAGGCCAUGGGUAAUCUUCAGGUUUAUUGCAGCAGCUUAAGAGAAGAAUAUGAACAAAUGCAGGGCACAUACCAACAUGUGUUGUAUUUUUCUGAAUGUUAAACACAAGCAGUAGAUUCAACAUGACUAACUGUUUGAUCGGUUUGAUGCCAAAGUUAGUUGGAACUCAACUCACUGUACGUACUCUAACACAGAUAACUGGUGCUGUUGCCUGUCUGCCACAGGCAGGAAAAUUAUUCUUUACUUCAGAAAAUUGGAAAGCUGCUAGAGUAAUCUG
rnacentral:lncRNA from 1 species